GCAACAUUAACUCAGUGGUAGAGUGAAAGUUUUCCAAACUUUAGGUCAUCGGUUCAAAUCCGAUAUGUUGCUCCA
rnacentral:tRNA from 2 species